AUGGACGUCGACGGCCACCUUCCCCGCACCCACGGCGACGUCGACGACGACGGCAGGGAGAGGAGAACAGGGACGGUAUGGACGGCGGCGGCGCACAUCAUAACGGCGGUGAUCGGGUCCGGCGUGCUGUCGCUGGCCUGGGCCAUGGCGCAGCUGGGCUGGGUGGCCGGGCCGCUCACCCUGGUGCUCUUCGCCGUCAUCACCUUCUACACCUGCGGCCUCCUCGCCGACUGCUACCGCGUCGGCGACCCCGUCACUGGCAAGCGCAACUACACCUACACGGAGGCCGUCCAGUCCUACCUAGGCGGAUGGCACGUCUGGUUCUGCGGCUUCUGCCAGUACGUGAACAUGUUCGGCACCGGCAUCGGCUACACCAUCACCGCCUCCACCAGCGCCGCCGCCUUGAAGAAGUCCAACUGCUACCACUGGCACGGGCACAAGGCGGACUGCAGCCAGUACCUGAGCGCCUACAUCAUCGGCUUCGGGGUGGUGCAGGUCAUCUUCUGCCAGGUGCCCAACUUCCACAAGCUCUCGUGGCUCUCCAUCGUCGCCGCCAUCAUGUCCUUCUCCUACGCCACCAUCGCCGUCGGCCUCUCGCUGGCGCAGACCAUCUCGGGGCCCACGGGGAAGACGUCGCUGACCGGCACGGAGGUCGGGGUCGACGUCGACGCCUCGCAGAAGGUCUGGAUGACGUUCCAGGCCCUCGGCAACGUCGCCUUCGCCUACUCCUACACCAUAAUCCUCAUCGAGAUCCAGGACACGCUACGGUCACCUCCGCGCGAGAACGAGACGAUGCGGAAGGCGACGCUGAUGGGCAUCUCGACGACGACGGCCUUCUACAUGCUGUGCGGCUGCCUGGGCUACUCGGCCUUCGGCAACGACGCCAACGGCAACAUCCUGACGGGGUUCGGCUUCUACGAGCCCUACUGGCUGGUGGACUUCGCCAACGUGUGCAUCGUGCUCCACCUGGUGGGCGGGUUCCAGGUGUUCUGCCAGCCGCUGUUCGCGGCGGUGGAGGGCGGCGUGGCGCGGAGGUACCCGGGGCUGGGCCGGGAGCACGCGGCGGUGUUCCGGCUGGUAUGGCGGACGGCGUUCGUGGGGAUGAUCACGCUGCUGGCCAUGCUGAUGCCCUUCUUCAACAGCAUCCUGGGGUUCCUGGGCAGCAUCGCCUUCUGGCCGCUCACCGUCUUCUUCCCCGUGGAGAUGUACAUCCGGCAGCGGCAGAUCCCGCGGUUCGGCACCAAGUGGGUGGCGCUGCAGAGCCUCAGCUUCGUCUGCUUCCUCGUCACCGUCGCCGCCUGCGCCGCGUCCAUCCAGGGCGUCCGCGACUCGCUCAAGACCUACACGCCCUUCACCACCAAGUCGUGA
rnacentral:rRNA from 1 species